GCUCACCCAGGGCGAGGCUCAGCCAUUGCACUCCGGUUGAGCUGACCCCUGCGAAUUCCCCAAAUGUGGGAAUCUCGAUUGCAUAAUUUCUGGUAGUGGGGGACUGCGUUCGCGCUCUCCCCUG
ensembl:snRNA U1 U1 spliceosomal RNA